CUCCCCUCUUGAUCUUGGCUGUUAUAGAAGAGCAGAAUAAUUCUCCUCCUGGAUUUCCCCAUCUCCCAGUUGCUCUCUUUCUCCCUUUAGAUCUGAGUCACUUUACAGCUUGGUUUGGAGCUGAUUCUUCUUCUUGGAGAGAAAGGGUUGGGGCUAUUGUUAUCUGCAUUUUACCCAUGAGAAAACGGAAGCAAACAGAGGCUAAGCGAUUCCUCCAGAGUCACACAGUUGGCAUAUGUCUGAGAUUCGACUCCAGUUUUAUCCACUGUUAACCUGCUAAGCUAAGGAGAUGGAAAUGUCUUCCUAGCCAUGUUCUCAACAGUUGGACCAGAGACUUUUCCUUCAGUGCUUAAUUCUGUCAUCUCUUGAAUUCUUGCCCUGAAGUCCUAUUCUUCUGAUUGGUGAGUUCUUCAUGUAUAGCCCACUAAAUCUAGGUUAGCUUGAUAUAUGCUUCAAAUUACUCCCUGGCUACCUUCUCACUAACUACCUUGCUGCCCUGUAAAUGAUGUCUUCUGCCUUCUUCCCCACCUCUGUUUCCUCCUCCCC
rnacentral:lncRNA from 1 species